ensembl:lncRNA
CAAACACAUGAUAGUUUUUUGUACAAAAAAAAGAUAACUUGUUCCUGUCAAACGGAGUUAGUAGGUUCCUGCAUGAAUAAGUGUGAUAACGCAUGCCAAACGGAGAUAGUAGGUGCCUACACCAANNNNNNNNNNCCUACACCAACAAGUGUGAUAACGCAUGCCAAACGGAGAUAGUAGGUACUGCUACAAUCAAAUUUGAUGAUUCCUGUCAAACGGAGUUAGUAGGUGCUUCUACAAUCCGAUUUGAUGACGCAUGCCAAACAGAUCUAGUAGGUACCUACACUAAAAAAUGUGACAAGACGUGUCAAACAGAUAUAAAAGCAUACAAUACCGAAUCGAAAGAAUUCAUAAAUGAAGGAACAAACACAGAAGAAAAAGAUAUAAGAGAUAAAAGUAUAGCUACGGAUGAAAAGGGACUAAUUGAUUUUGGUAUAAAUACAGAUAAUGUAAAUAUUACUAACAAAAGUACAAACACAGAACUAGAUUUAAAUAAUAAAACAAAUAAUUAUACACAGACUGAUGAAAAAGAUUGUUAUAUAAAAUGUACACAAACAAAUUUACAGUCAAAUGUAGAUAAAUCUGUUACUACAGAUAUAUCUGGAAUUGAUAAUUUAAAACAAAUAGUAAGAAAAAGUAUUAUAUGGAAAAAUAAAAAAAUACAAGUAUCGUUAGCAAAGUUAAAUGCGUUGACUCAAACAGAAAGAAAAGUAUUUUGUGACACUGUUGAUACAUACAAAACUCACACAAAUCAUGAUGAAAGCGGCAGUGACACUUUUGUAUAUACAAGGGUUUCAAAAGGAACACACAAAAGCACGCACAGCAACAACAUAAAUAGUAACAUAAAUAGUAACAUAAACAGUAACAUGAACAGUAACAUAAACAACAGAAGCAACAACAGAAACAAUAACAGAAACGACAGUACGAAGAAAAUGAGACAAACAAAAAACAAACGUCCUAAAAAAUAUAAGCAUAAUAAUGAAUAUAUUAACAAAAAGAGCGACGAAUGUAUUUCGUCAGUUUGCUCUUCCAGCAACUCAUCCGAUUGUUGUUAUCCUAAUCAGGAUGACAUGACUAUGACUUCUUGUUAUAACGGAAUCUGUAUGCAUCAUAAAAAUAAUUAUAUAAAUAAUAACAGUGGAUAUCAUCAAGUAAACCCUUAUUACGAUAGUGGACAAUAUAACAACCAUAUGAUGGGACCAUACAAUAAUAAUAUGGUGGGUCAGUAUAACAAGCAUUUGAUACCUAUGACAAAAUAUUGUGACGAUACUAUGGAUUUUGAUCACAAUUGCAAUAAUUAUGGAAAACAUAAGUAUGAUAAUAACACUGAUAUUUGUGUUUUUUCAAAUGGUCGAGAAAGAUAUAGAAACAGAACAGGUGAUAUAGUAUAUAACUAUAAUGAAAAUGAAAACAGAAAAAAAAUAAAUAAAGUAGAAGUAUUAUAUGGUAAGAGAAACUUAAAAAAAAAAAGAGAAAAGAAGUACAUACAUAAGGACACACAAAGUAGUCAUUAUACAUCUUCUUGUAGCAAAACAAAAAAAAAUGAUGGAAAUAAUGUUGAAACGUUAUUACAAAUGUUAAAAUAUUCAUCCGAAAAUGAUGAUUAUGAUGAUACUUUUGAUUAUGACAAGAGCGGUUAUACUUCAGGUGAAGGUCAACACCGGUGCAAUGAAAGUUCUAAUAUAAAUGAAACAAAAUAUCCUAUGAAAUUGUAUCAUGAUAAAAAAAAAGAAAAAAAAAAAAAAAAAAAUUAUGAACACAAAAACAGUACCAAUAAACAAUACGUAUAAUAGUAACAUACAAAAGGAUAGUGACAGACAUCUUCAUUACGAUAAGCCUAAGGUUAAAGAUCAUUUUAAUAAAGAAACAUAUCAUGACGAUGUAUUUAAUUACAGCACAGUUUUAUAUUCAUCGCAUGAUGAUUAUGAUGAGUGUUCUAAUACUUCCGUAAAUAGGGGUAACAAAAAUAAAGAUCCUCCCAAGUUGUUAUACGAUGGUAAUAAUAGCAGCAAUGGUAACUGUAGUAUCAGAUGUAGUAGUAGUUGUAGUAUCAGAUGUAGUAGUAGUUGUAGUAUCAGAUGUAGUAGCAGUUGCAGUAGCAGUUAUAGUAGCAGUUGUAAUAAUAACGAUAAAAAUAGUAUAAGCAAUAGCAAAGAACAAAAAAUAUGUGUAUAUAACCGUAGCAACAGUGUGCAUAGUAAUCGUACUUAUACGUAUUAUCAGAAUAAUAAUAAUCUUAUUAAAAUAAAAAAUAAAUACACACAAACAGAAGAUAAUAUUUUAAACUAUGAUUUUUCUUGUAGCUUAGAUGAUCUGAAAGGUUCUAAUAAAGUGAAAAAGAAUACAAAAGCAUUAGAAUUAAAAAUAAAAGCAUAUUAUAAAGAUUUGUAUAAUACACUAAUGAUAUGUGAACAUUGUAAGGGAAUGUUUGUAGAUCCUAUGUUAAUACAUAUUUUUAACGAAUAUAUUAUUGAUAGUGGCAACAAAAGAAAUUAUGACAGCACCUACAACAGCAAUAACAAUGACAGCACCUACAACAGCAAUAACAAUGACAGCACCUACAACAACAAUAACAAUGACAGUAGUAACAAUGAAAGUCUCGUGUUGCAAAAAUCUAAAAAAAUAUGUUUUAAAAAGAAGUUAAAUGAUUGUGAUAUAAAAAAAGAGUCGAACUAUGAUGAUCCAUGUUGUAAUACUGAGAGUAAUACUGAUAGUGAAAAUAAAAGUUUGAUAGCUGAUUUUUCACAAAAUUUAAAACAAUGUCCACAAAUUUAUGAUGAUACAUAUGAAACAAACAUUAGAUGCUCAUGUAAAAACAGUGUACACAUUUACAACCAUAGGAAUUACGUAAAUAAUGAAAAGAGUAAUGGUAUUAAUAGUGGUAAUAUAAACGGUAAUAGAAGCGACAGUUGUAAUACCAAUUGUAUUAGUGUUAUAGACCUAGUUAAAAAUUGUUCUGAUGUAAGCGAAAGUAGUUGCUCUUGUAGCUGCGGAACAGAAGAAAAUGAAGACAGUGAUAAUAGUCUUACUGCUUUGAUACGUUUUAUUUCAAAACGUAUUUCGUUCAGUUUUUCUAUAUGCACAUGUACUUAUAUAAAUUUGAAGUAUAAAAAGGUAUUUGUAAGAAAGGAGGAAACCAUUAAAUCUCGGAAAAUAAACAUGGGUUCAAGGGGUGUAUAUAAUAAAACGACUACCAAAGGAGAUACCGAAGAAAAUACCGAAGGACAUGCCAAAACACACAUGGUGAGAGACAUUAUGACACGCGAUAAGUUGCGUCACAAAAAAAAAGGAGAUAAAACAAUGUUAAAUAACAUUAGUCUUCUUAUUAACAAAUUGAAAACUGAGUUAAAUGAAAUAAAAUAUAUAAUUUCAAAUUAUUUUUUGUUAAACAAAAAUAGUUAUAUUGCAAGUUUUAUCUUAAACAGUAAAAACAUUAAUGAUAUACCUACAUUUUUGUAUAAUUAUGUAGAUAAUAAAAAUAAAGUUAGUUCAAUAGGAAUACCAAAUAAAAAUACUAACAAUGGCAGUAUAACGGAAAAAAACAGCAUGGAUGUUUAUGAUGCGAUAAACAAUUUAUGUCGACAUAACAAUAAAGAAGUGAAGAAUCAUGAAACAGUGGCAGUUACAAACGAAUUGCUUAUCAUUAAUAAGAUAAGUGUAUGUAAUAACAUUAACAACGUUCCGAACAACAAUUUAUUUGAUAAGGAUGAUAUAAUAAAUUUAAAAAAGAAAGAAAUCAAGAUUUAUAAUAAUAGUUCUAGUAAUAGUUAUGGUAAUGAAGACAUCAUUAUUCAUUUUAAUAAAAAAGAUAACACAAACCAAAAUUUUAACAGUUUUAAUUAUCUAAUUAAAAAUUAUGAUAUUAAAAAUAUUAUGCUUUUUAUAAUUUGUUGUAUUUAUAGUUUCAAUGAAAUGUACAUAAAAAUGAACUGUUCUUCAAUAGGCCAAGCAAAAUUAAAAAACUCACUUUUAAAUUACUAUGAUUUGGUUGCUGAUUUUAAUGAUUCACGGAGGACUUAUAAUGAUACAAAUGAUACAAAUGAUAUAAAUUCAAAAAACAGCAAACGUGUGUGUAAUACUAACAACUACACUGAAUUAGAAAGUAAUUAUGAACACAGACAGGUAGAAAAGCACGUCAGAUCGUUUUUAGCAGAAUAUGAGUUUGAUUUGGGUGGAAGACAUAGGAGCUUAAGCAAUCGCACCAGCUACAGUAGUACAAACUACAAUGACACUAACUACAGUAGUACAAACCACAGUAGUACAAACUACAAUGACACUAACUACAGUAGUACAAACCACAGUAGUACAAACCACAGUAGUGCCAACUACAGUAGUACAAACCACAAUAGUACAAACCACAGUAGUGCCAACUACAGUAGUACAAACUACAAUGGUACUAACUACAGUAGUAUAAACUACAGUAGCAAUACAACCAUAAACAAAGAACAUAAUAUACUAUCCCGAAUAUUGCAUGAAAUAAACAAUAGUAUAAAAGAUAAUUAUACAUUUAUUCAGUCUGUUUACCUUUUCAUAAAUAAGCCAAUACCUGAAGAAAAAAACUGUAGCUUCAUCUUUUCUGACUUACUAGGAUUAAUACAAAACUAUAAAAAUAUUAAUUCAUAUAUUUAUAAUUUAAAUAAAACUAAUGAUAAUAGGCUUGUAAACAUUAACAAAAGUGUGAAAGAAAAAGAAACUACUAUUAACAAUUUAAAAACAGAAAGAGAUAAAUUAGUACUAUACAAAGAAAUAGCAAAUAACCUAUUAAUAAAAAUGUAUGGCAUUCAAAAAGGUUCUAAAAUAUUAAUGAAUAUGUAUAAUGAAACUAAAAAUAAUACUACUAUGAUUUAUAAUGGAAACAAUGACAAAAAAGUAAAUACAUGCAUUGAAAAAAUAAACGAACUAAAUUUAAAAAUAGAUUUGUUGAAAAAAAAGAAUGAACAUAAGUAUGUAGUUAAAAACAGUGUAAAUAAUGAUGACAACAUAAAGGAUAGAUUAAGUGACAUUCAAAACAAACAGGCAAAAUCUAAUUCGGUGUUAUCAAUAAGGUCAAUAUCUGCAGUGUCAGUUGCACCAUCAUUAAAAUUACCAGUCGUAUCGUCAACCACAUCACUUACUGUAUUGUCAUCCGCAUCUGGUGAAGAUUCAGUUCGUUAUUAACAUGUUGACAAUCAUCUUAUAAAACAUACUAACGAAACUGGAGAGAGC